GACGAACGCUGGCGGCGUGCCUAAUACAUGCAAGUAGAACGCUGAAGGAGGAGCUUGCUUCUCUGGAUGAGUUGCGAACGGGUGAGUAACGCGUAGGUAACCUGCCUGGUAGCGGGGGAUAACUAUUGGAAACGAUAGCUAAUACCGCAUAAGAGUAGAUGUUGCAUGACAUUUGCUUAAAAGGUGCAAUUGCAUCACUACCAGAUGGACCUGCGUUGUAUUAGCUAGUUGGUGAGGUAACGGCUCACCAAGGCAACGAUACAUAGCCGACCUGAGAGGGUGAUCGGCCACACUGGGACUGAGACACGGCCCAGACUCCUACGGGAGGCAGCAGUAGGGAAUCUUCGGCAAUGGACGGAAGUCUGACCGAGCAACGCCGCGGGAGUGAAGAAGGGUUUCGGAUCGUAAAGCUCUGUUGUAAGAGAAGAACGAGUGUGAGAGUGGAAAGUUCACACUGUGACGGUAUCUUACCAGAAAGGGACGGCUAACUACGUG
rnacentral:rRNA from 1 species